AUUGUUUUGGCAGAUAAGUGCAUUAAAUUUAGAAUUUACAUAUGUAUGUAUAAUACAAGCAAUA
rnacentral:tRNA from 1 species